rnacentral:rRNA from 1 species
GAUGAACGCUGGCGGCGUGCUUAACACAUGCAAGUCGAACGGAAAGGCUCCUGCUUGCAGGGGUACUCGAGUGGCGAACGGGUGAGUAACACGUGGGUGAUCUGCCCUGCACUUCGGGAUAAGCCUGGGAAACUGGGUCUAAUACCGGAUAGGACGAUGGUUUGGAUGCCAUUGUGGAAAGUUUUUCGGUGUGGGAUGAGCUCGCGGCCUAUCAGCUUGUUGGUGGGGUAAUGGCCUACCAAGGCGUCGAUGGGUAGGCGGCCUGAGAGGGUGUACGGCCACAUUGGGACUGAGAGACGGCCCAGACUCCUACGGGAGGCAGAAGUGGGGAAUAUUGCACAAUGGGCGCAAGCCUGAUGCAGCGACGCCGCGUGGGGGAUGACGGCCUUCGGGUUGUAAACUCCUUUCGCUAGGGACGAAGCGCAAGUGACGGUACCUAGAGAAGAAGCACCGGCUAACUACGUG